rnacentral:rRNA from 1 species
UGGUGAGGCNACGGCUCACCAAANCNNUUAACCCGGUACGGGGCCGUGGGAGCGGGUGCCCCGGAGAUGNGANCUGAGACNAGGUCCCAGGCCCUACGGGGCGCAGCNGUUGCGAAAACUCGUCAAUGCACGAAAGUGUGAACGGGCUACCCCGAGUGCUGUCCGCUGAGGAUGGCUUUUCUCUGCUGUAAGGAGGCGGAGGAAUAAGGAGAGGGCAAGUCUGGUGUCAGCCGCCGCGGUAAUACCAGCUCUCCGAGUGGUGGGGAUGUUUAUUGGGCUUAAAGCGUCCGUAGCCUGCCCUUCAAGUCUUUCGUUAAAUCCAGCGAUUCAAUCGUUGGACCGCGGGAGAUACUGUUGGGCUAGGGGGCGGGAGAAGCCGACGGUAUUUCCGGGGUAGGGGUAAAAUCCUAUAAUCCCGGGAGGACCACCAGUGGCGUAGGCGGUCGGCUAGCACGUGCUCGACGGUGAGGGACGAAAGCUGGGGGAGCAAACCGGAUUAGAUACCCGGAUAGUCCCAGCUGUAAACGAUGCGGGCUAGGUGUUGGAGUGGCCACGAGCCACUUCAGUGCCGCAGGGAAACCAUUAAGCCCGCCGCCUGGGGAGUACGGCCGCAAGGCUGAAACUUAAAGGAAUUGGCGGGGGA